UGCUCCCAGACGUCCGCAGAUGCCAACGUACCCUAGUGCAAAUCAACUUUGAAGCAAGUUUCUACAAGUUUUAGUGUUGCCCUUAAGAAAUUCCUGAGUGCUAAAGCCGAUUUGCUUGUAAAGGUCAUUAUGCCGUCUCUUACGUAUACAAAAGUCGAGCAGCAAUUUGAGAUCUACGUAUACGUCCUGGGUUAUUACCUUCAUGCUCAAAAAUGCCUCGACUCAACUACGUGCAGGUACCAGAAGCGGUUAGGCACCUGUCAGCGAAUAAAAGACGCUAUGAAACAUAUUGGUGUCUGCAAGAACAUGCGCGCUUGCACUGUCCCCUUUUGCAGGAUUACACGAGCUGUUGAACGUCAUUGGCAGAAUUGUAACAAUAACGAGUGCCGGGUGUGCGAGAUAUACUUGGCCAAAGGCUAUGGUCUGCAGUAAGUUUGUUGUUCAACUACGCUUGCGAAUUUCUAAUUUUGAAUCCUGCAAAUCGUUUUUUAUGAUUUACUCAAACGUUCUGGCGAAGUAAUAGUAUGUUUUGAUGUACCUAUACAACAUACAUAUCCUAAAGCAAAUGUGAAUUAUAUUUUCGAAUUGUUAUAAGUUUACAAUGUAUACAAUUUAAAUCUUUAAUUAUACAUUCCUUUCCUAUUGCUAUUCCUAAUUAAUAACUAUGUAGAAAUGUUGCAAGUGAUUCUAGAUUGUAAACUCCCGGCAUUCCAGGAAGCUAAAAAACAUCUUUAAUAUUUCUGUGCGACUUACAAUCCUUUGCGCGUAAUUAUGAGUCCGCAUAAUAAUUUUACACAUAAUUAUAGAAACUGAUUUUUCUAUAAUUAUGCAAAAAAACUGUUAUGCCAUGUUCAUAGUAAAUAAGAUAAGAGUUUUAGCUAGGAUGUUAUAUUAUUUCGCAGUUGGUCUAAUAAUGAUACAAGGUACAAAACGUAUUAAAUUAUGAUUCAGAUUUAUAACACAAAAUAAGUAUUAAUAAUUUUAAAUAAUUCUUACAAUUUUUUUCAGUUAGAACGAAAACAAUAUUAUUUUAGAACAGAGCAAUUUGUCUUCUCGGUGUUAGUAUUAAGGUUUUUCUCCUUCAGCCUGUAAUCAUCCACUGCUGAGUGUAGACCGUCCUUUUUGACCUUGGGCUAUUUGCAUCCAUUACUUUAGUCGUCGAUUAUUCAAUGUUAAGCUUUUAUUCUGACUAAACAUUAUAGAUUGUUUUGAGGCAUUAUUUAUUGCAAACAGCGAGUUUGGACAAAACAAAUCAUUUUUGGACCAAAAUCAAAGGUUGUAACAAUACUUAAUGAAUUUAAAAGCCCGGUAAAGGGAACAGGGUUUCUUCACUAUGGAACUUUGGAAUAUUCUAAUGUACAAGUGAUUGUUCAAUACCGUCAAUUAUACAUCGUCUGUAGUAGGCUUUUUAAUGACAGAUAGUAAACUUUGCUAGCUUUUGAUGAAAUAAUAUCACAGUGUAAUUUGGACAAGGUACUGCAACUGUAUCAGCGAAGCUUGUAUGUGCGCACACAUUCGCAUAAUGUCAAGGUGCACUCGAGGGUUGCACGCGGUACACUUUAUUUCAUUCAUUCUUUCAUUCUUUGUUUCAUUAAUUAUUUAUUAUAUAAAGAAUUGACGCGUUCACCAGGUGUUUAAAAUAUUGAUAAUAAGAAUAUUUUUCUGUGUCAAUGAGUUUUUUUUAUUU